rnacentral:rRNA from 1 species
GACGAACGCUGGCGGCGUGCUUAACACAUGCAAGUCGAACGGAAAGGCCCUGCUUUUGUGGGGUGCUCGAGUGGCGAACGGGUGAGUAACACGUGAGUAACCUGCCCUUGACUUUGGGAUAACUUCAGGAAACUGGGGCUAAUACCGGAUAGGAGCUCCUGCUGCAUGGUGGGGGUUGGAAAGUUUCGGCGGUUGGGGAUGGACUCGCGGCUUAUCAGCUUGUUGGUGGGGUAGUGGCUUACCAAGGCUUUGACGGGUAGCCGGCCUGGGAGGGUGACCGGCAACAUUGGGACUGAGAUAGGGCCCAGACUCCUACGGGAGGCAGCAGUGGGGAAUAUUGCACAAUGGGCGGAAGCCUGAGGCAGCAACGCCGCGUGCGGGAUGACGGCCUUCGGGUUAUAAACCGCUUUCGCCUGUGACGAAGCGUGAGUGACGGUAAUGGGUAAAGAAGCACCGGCUAACUACGUG